rnacentral:snoRNA from 1 species
UGGAAAUGAUGAAAUAGAGAUAAUUGGGUGUUAAAUGUUGUAUGAUUAGAAAAUUUUAAUAUCUAAGUUAAGUAAUCUUAAGUUUAAUAUUUUUUAACUGUCUGAUAGUGUGUGUGUGUGUGUGUGUGUGUGUGCGCGCGUGCGCGUGUGUGCUUGUGGAGGCUAUGAAGAGGGGGCUCUGACUGGUGAUGCUGAUACUGGAGUGCAUCUGAGGCUGUUGUAGAAGCACGUGGGUUGUUGAUUACAACACUGCCGAUGAUUAUAGCCCAGGAGCAGCUCACCUAAGUAGCCUGACACCCUAAAAUCUCUGACAGGUUCAUUGAACGUGAUCCUGUGAUCUGAUCCAA